ensembl:lncRNA
GUGUUUGUUUUGUCCAGCUGUUUUAAAAUUAAUUCAAAAUGCCAAUUAGACCAGAUCUCCAGCAGUUGGAAAAAUGCAUUGAUGAUGCUUUAAGAAGAAAUGAUUUCAAACCUUUGAAAACACUUUUACAAAUUGAUAUUUGUGAAGAUGUGAAGAUCAAAUGCAGCAAACAGUUUUUCCACAAGUUGGAUGACCUUAUGUGCAGGGAGCUUAAUAAAAAGAAUAUCCAAGCUGUUUCAACCAUUUUGGUUUCUUUUGGAAGAUGUGGCAAAAAUAUCAGUAUAUUGGGACAAGCUGGACUUCUGACUAUGAUAAAACAAGGACUAGUCCAAAAGAUAAGUCUAGAUAAUAAAAUUAUUCUGAGUCAAGGAAAUUCAAAAGAUGAAGCCGUUAUAAAUAUGAUAGAAGAUUUAUUUGAUCUUUUGAUGGUCAUACAUGACACUGAUGAUGAAGGUAAAAGGCAAAUAGUGGAAAGUUUCGUACCUCGAAUUUGUGCCCUGGUUAUUGACUCAAGAGUGACUAUUUGUAUUCAGCAGGAGACUCUAAAAAAAAUGAAUGCUAUGCUUGACAAAAUGCCUCAAGAUGCUGGAAAAAUACUCUGUAACCAAGAAAUGUUAAUUCUCAUGAGUAGUAUGGGAGAAAGGAUUUUAGAUGCUGGAGAUUAUGACCUACAAGUAGGUAUCAUAGAAGCUUUAUGUAGAAUGACCACGGAAAAACAAAGGCAAGAACUGGCGUGUCAGUGGUUUUCAAUGGAUUUUAUUGCUAAUGCAUUUAAAGAAAUUAAAGACUCUGAAUUUGAAACAGAUUGUAGGAUAUUUCUUAACCUCGUAAAUGGCAUGCUUGGCGAUAAGAGAAGGGUCUUUACAUUCCCUUGUUUAUCAGCAUUUCUUGAUAAACAUGAGCUGCAAAUACCAUCAGAUGAGAAACUUGAGGAAUUUUGGAUAGAUUUUAAUCUUGGGAGCCAGACUCUAUCAUUCUACAUUGCUGGAGAUAAUGAUGAUCAUCCGUGGGAAGCAGUCACUGUGCCUGAGGAAAAAGUACAAAUAUACAGCAUUGAAGUGAAAGAAUCAAAGAAGCUACUGACUAUAAUUCUGAAAAAUAUUGUAAAAAUUAGUAAAGGAGAAGGGAAAGAAUUACUUUUAUAUUUUGAUGCAUCGUUAGAAAUCACUAAUGUGACACAAAAAAUUUUUGGUGCAAAUAAGUAUAGGGAAUUUACCAGAAAACAAGGCAUUUCAGUUGCCAAAACAUCUGUGCAUAUACUCUUUGAUGCAAGUGGAUCACAGAUUCUAGUCCCAGAAAGUCAAACCUCACCAGUUGAAGAGGAACUUGUUAGUUUGAAAGAAAAACUUACCCCUCAAGAGGAAUUAGCUAAACCUCCAAAAUAUAUCAAAAAUAGUAAUCAAGGGGACAGAAAAAAUAGUCAGGCUGAGAUAAUUACUCCUAGCAAAAGAAAAAUGUCUGAAGCAUCAAUGAUUGUUCCCAGUUCAGAGAGAUACACUGUGAGAAGUCCAAUACUUCUAAUCAAUACAUCAACACCGCGAAGAGGAAGAAUUAAACCACCACUGCAGAUGACAAGUUCUACAGAAAAACCUGGUGUUUCCAAAACAUCGGAAAAUGGAGUGGAUAAUGCUGUAUCACUUAAAUCUAGAACAUCUCAAGAAAGAAAUAGAGGAGAUAAUACAGACAAAGAUAUUGUUCCUGAUUCACAGGCACUGGGAAAAAUAGGUAAACCUGUGUUACCUGGUGCUUUAGACAACAUCUGCGGAAAUAAAAUGCACUCCAAAUGCGUAUGUUGGACACCUGUAACAAACAUUCAGCUUGGUAAUAACCGAAGAGAAAGUACUUCAUCAGGAGACACAUUUAAUCAAGAUACUAUUAUCAACAAAAAACUUGCUAAACAAAAAUCAUCCUCUUCAAUAUCUGAUGAUAAUUCUGAGGAAACAGGAAAGGUACAGUACAGGGAAGAAAGAAUGCAGCAUAACAAAGUAGAUGAAGCAGAAGUAGGAGUCUGCAAAGGCAGCAAACAGCAACUCGGUCGUCCUAAACACUUGGAGGAGGAAAGUACUGAAAAUACCAAGCAGAGUGAUUGGCGUAUUGAAUCUGAAACUACUUUUAAAUCAGUUCUCCUAAAUAAGACAGUUGAAGAAUCUGUGAUCUAUAGGAAAAAAUACAUAUUGUCAAAGGAUGUGAAUACUACUAUUUGUGAUAAAAGCCCUUCUCCUAGAAAAAAUGCAAACGGCGUUAGAAAAUCAGGGAAAAGACUGACGUCUGAACUUAGUUCCUGGGACUUGAAACCAAAAAAAACGAGAGAAAAGUUAAAAGGGAAAGGAUUUACUGAUGCAGCAGAAUCCUUGAUAAGCCAAAUUAAUAAGAGAUACAAACCAAAGGAUGGCAUAAAGUCCACAAGAAAAUUAAAGGAGUCUUUGACUGACAGUGGUUUUUCAAACAAAUCUGAUCUACAGCUCAGUAAGGUUCAGAAAAAAAGUUAUAGACAAUUGAAGACUACUUUCGUUAAUGUUACUUCUGAAUGCCCAUUGAACGAUGUUUACAAUUUUAAUUUGAAUGGAGCAGAUGAGCCUAUUAUAAAACUGGGAAUCCAGGAAUUUCAAGCUACAGCUAGAGAAGCCUGUGUGGAUACUUCAAUUGUAACAAAUCAUAAAAAGAAAAAUCUCUUUAGUGAUACUGACACAGAAUACAAUUGUGAUGACAUGAAGACAGAUAUUAGCUGGUUAAGAGAACCAAAAUCAAAACCACAGCUAAUAGACUACAGCAGAAAUAAAAAUGUGAAGAAACAUAAAAGUGGGAGAUCAAGACCAUGUUUGGAAAGGAGACAACCAAGAUCUAAAAUGACACCCAACAAAAAUAUCACCAAAAAGGUAGAUGAGACAGUUCCAGAGGGGAGAACCAGACUUCCACGAAGAGCAGCAAAAACCAAAAAAAAUUAUAAGGAUCUCUCAAAUUCAGAAUCAGAGAGUGAACAAGAAUUUUCACAUUCAUUUAAAGAAAAAUUGCUAGUAAAGGAGAGUAUACAUUCCAGAAGCAAAACUGUGAAGCUGCCAAAGAAACAGCAGGAUUCCUUUUCUGCCGAAAUACAGAAGGAUAUAUCAAAAGAAAGGAAAAACUCAUCUCUACUGAGAGAUACUCUACAAGAAAACAGCCUUGACCUAGCUCCUAUAUCUUUAUCUGGGAGUCCAUCAUCUAUAGAAGUAAUGAGAUGUACAGAAAAAGGAACAGAAAGGGAUUUUACUCAGGAUUAUGACUGUAUAACAAAAUCAGUAUCACCUUAUCCAAAAACUUCAUCACCUGAAUCCUUAAACAGUAAAUACAGCAUUGGAGGUCCAACAAAGUCACCCAAAAACAGUGAGGAAAAUUUACUGUGUACAAGAGAAAAUUGCUCACCAAUUCCACAAUCAUUCUUUUUGGUAAGAAAAAAAAAGUAUGUAUUUUCUCUUUUAUCAGAUAUACCUGAAGUGGGCCCUACACAACAUCUUAGUCGCAAACGAAUGUACACAGAAGACAACCUAAGUAAUUAUGAUGAAGUAGAACUGGAAGAAAGAGCAAACUUGCCUCCCAAAAAACUAUCUAAAGGCGAAGAUUCUUGGUUGGAUUAUUAUUUUGUAAAGAUUUUCAAGUUAAAGAUGAGUAUUUUUCAGAUCCACCAGAAACUGAUGGAUUAUUUUACUAAGCAGUUGUGGAAAACAGCCCAACAGCAUAUAAAAACAAUGAACCAUCAAAUUCAGGAGAUCAAAAAACUUGAUAAAUUCCAAUUCAUCAUCACAGAGGAGCUGGAGAAUUUUGAAAAAGAUUCACAGUCUUUAAAAGAUUUGGAGAAGGAAUUUGUGGACUUUUGGGAAAAGAUAUUUCACAAGUUCAGUGCCUAUCAAAAAAGUGAACAGCAGCGGCUUCACCUUUUAAAAGCUUCAUUGGACAAGAAUGUCUUCUACAACACUGGUUAUGAAGAAACUAUUUUUACAUCUGAGAUGUGUUUGAUGAAAGAAAACAUGAAAAUGCUGCAAGACAGGCUUCUUAAGGAAAUGCAAGAGGAAGAGCUUCUUAAAGUACGCAGAGGACUGAUGUCAUUAUUCAUGGCUCAUGAAAGAAACAGUGUGUGACGCCUAGUUGUUACCAGCGAGUUUUAUCGAAUUAUGCUUUUCUGUGUAUAACUAAGGAAAUACUACAGUAGCUCUAUAAAGAGAAACACAUGUCACCCAGGCAAGACUGCCUUUGUAGGAACCUCCAAAUCCAAAGAAAUAUCUUAUCAAUGAAAGAACCUACAGUCACUAUAACAUGGUUCUGAGCCCAAAGGACUUUUGUCUGUACACUAUUACCCUUUUUAAAGAAAGUUUUGGGAAAUCAGACAAUAAAAGGAAUUGGCUUGUUUUGCA